CAGUAACGGUCAAAGAGGAGAGGAAGAUGAGAAAUCGACUAUUAACGUUGUGUAACUUAAGUUCAUUUAAAGACGCUAAAAAAGAAGACAUAUCUAACAUUAUACUUAUCUGAGCUGCAUCCUAAACUAACAAUUUGGUGAAUUGAAGAAAUUAGCAUGUCAAGAGAAUCAGAUGUCCAGUGUUUGUCAGGAGAGGACCUGUUGACCAUAUGGAGCAGAACUUCCUCAUAAAGAUAAACCAGCUCGUAAACCUCAGCACAGGGAUGGCCAGGGACAUGUGUACAGAGGCACGGGCCUCCGUGUAGAACCGCCACUGUGUGCAAGGGGAGCAGCUAUAUCAAACAGCUGAAAGAACAGCACAAUUAUCGCGCCACCACAAUGGUGCACAAAUUAGUGGACCUUUCCCACUUUUUUAACUGGGUGAAGGAGGCAGGAUGGGCUGAGAGUGUCCAAGAAAGCCGUUAAACGGGCUCUUCUUAUAAUAAAAAUGUGCUCAAAAGAGGAGCUGAAAAACAGGCAGUCCUGGCAGCAGGAGGUCCACUUAUCGAAAUCUGCACCCCCUUCCAACCACAAGAGAGACCAGUGUGACAACAUGCAGAAGGUGUGUGUCAGUCAGAUUACUGUGUGGGGAAAAGGACUGUGGCCAAACAACUGUCUGAAAGAACACUAGCCAAGAGAAGAAUACAGUAACAUUCUGAUGAAACCACCAAAGCGUUCAGUCUUGGAGGAAUCUGUAAACCGUUUCAACAUGGCACAUCCUGAUGACUCCCUCUACCUCCCCAGCAUGUCUCAAUUAGUUCACACCAGUAAUGAACACUAUAUCAAACAGCUGAAGGAAGACCACAAUUAUCGGGCCACUACAAUGGUGCAUAAAUUAGUGGACCUUUCCCACUUUAUUAACUGGGUGAAGGAGGCAGGCCCCGAUGGGCUGCGAGUGUCCAAGAAAGCCGUUAAACGGGCUCUUCUUAUAAUAAAAAUGUGCUCAAAAGAGGAGCUGAAAAACAGGCAGGCCUGGCAGCCGGAGGUGCAGAUGUCAAAAUCUGAUACAAGCAGGUCAAUCAACAGUGUCAGGUGUGGCACAGAGAAUCCAGAGACAUAAACGUUUACCGGGCAAUGGUCGGGGCUGGCAGCAAUCAGCAUAAACAGGGUCAGUAUCACUUGACUUGAGCAGGGUACAUGAAAAGUGGGUGAGAUACGAUAAUUGGAUGGUAAAGCCCAACAAUAUGAUACAGGAGUAAUUUGCCUAAUGAUUUUGAAAGGACCCACGUACCUAAGACUAAGUUUCCUGCAUGAAAGGUGAAGGCAGAGAUCUUUAGCAGGUAGCCAAACCCACUGUCCUGCCCCUCGACGGUGAUCAACCUGUCCCUUGACACUGCAGACAGCUCGUUGAAGAUCUCCUCACUUCUAUGUAACAAGUGGUUGACUGUGGGUAGGUCAGAAGGUUGAAAACAGAGCACUGUGUGUCCAAUGGAUGGUUUGCGAAGCGAGUUCUGGGUGUAUUCGACCCAAAACAGGAAGCAUCUCCAAUCCGAUUGCUUGUUGUGGCAGUAUGAGCAGAGGAAUUGUGUCAGUUUUUGAUUCAGUCUCUUUAUAAUCAUAAUCCCCUUUGAAACUCUCCUAUUUAUUUAUUUUAAA